GAUGAACGCUGGCGGCGUGCCUAAUACAUGCAAGUCGAGCGAACGGACGAGAAGCUUGCUUCUCUGAUGUUAGCGGCGGACGGGUGAGUAACACGUGGAUAACCUACCUAUAAGACUGGGAUAACUUCGGGAAACCGGAGCUAAUACCGGAUAAUAUUUUGAACCGCAUGGUUCAAAAGUGAAAGACGGUCUUGCUGUCACUUAUAGAUGGGUCCGCGCUGCAUUAGCUAGUUGGUAAGGUAACGGCUUACCAAGGCAACGAUGCAUAGCCGACCUGAGAGGGUGAUCGGCCACACUGGAACUGAGACACGGUCCAGACUCCUACGGGAGGCAGCAGUAGGGAAUCUUCCGCAAUGGACGAAAGCCUGACGGAGCAACGCCGCGUGAGUGAUGAAGGUCUUCGGAUCGUAAAACUCUGUUAUUAGGGAAGAACAUAUGUGUAAGUAACUGUGCACAUCUUGACGGUACCUAAUCAGAAAACCACGGCUAACUACGU
rnacentral:rRNA from 1 species